GGCCGGCUGGCGUAAUGGUAGCGCUUCAGACUUCUAUCUAAAUGGUAUCUGAAGGUUGCGGGUUCGAGCCCCGCGUUGGUCA